GUAGGUGGCAAGCGUUGUCCGGAAUUAUUGGGCGUAAAGCGCGCGCAGGCGGGUUCUUUAAGUCUGAUGUGAAAGCCCACGGGCUCAACCGUGGAGGGUCAUUGGAAACUGGAGAACUUGAGUACAGAAGAGGAAAGCGGAAUUCCACGUGUAGCGGUGAAAUGCGUAGAGAUGUGGAGGAACACCAGUGGCGAAGGCGGCUUUCUGGUCUGUAACUGACGCUGAGGCGCGAAAGCGUGGGGAGCAAACAGGAUUAGAUACCCUGGUAGUCCACGCCGUAAACGAUGAGUGCUAAGUGUUAGGGGGUUUCCGCCCCUUAGUGCUGCAGCUAACGCAUUAAGCACUCCGCCUGGGGAGUACGACCGCAAAGGUUA
rnacentral:rRNA from 1 species